rnacentral:tRNA from 1 species
UGGGGGCUCGUCCAGUGGUAGGACUGCAGACUUUGGAUCUGCCUACAGAGGUUCGAAUCCUCUGCCCUCAGCCA